rnacentral:rRNA from 1 species
CGCGACCCCAGGUCGGGCGGGAUUACCCGCUGAGUUAAGCAUAUCAAUAAGCGGAGGAAAAGAAACUACAA